CGAGGGGCUGUGCAGGUCAGGGAAUGGCAUAGAGUAGCUGGCCGGGGUCCUGCCAAGGGGUGCAGUGGACCAGAAGACAGCCUGCAGAGACAUCAGGGCAGUGACAUCAUGGGAAAAUCUCCUACCAGGGAAACAGGAAGUUCAGCUCUUUAGACCACUCACCCCCGGACACCCGCCCCGAGCUAGGAGUUGUUUGGUUCCUGACGCUGCCAUGGACUCCAGGCUCCUCUGCUGUGUGACUCUUUGUCUCCUGGGAGCAGGCCCGGUGGAUUCUGGAGUCACCUUGACCCCCAAAUACGUGAUCAAAUCAAGACAACAGCAAGAGACACUGAGAUGUUCCCCUGUCUCUGGACACCUCUCUGUGUCCUGGUACCAACAGGCCCUGGGCCAGGGCCAUCAGUUCCCAGCUGAGUAUUACAGAGGGGAAGAGAGAGGAGAAGGAAACAUCCUAGAUAGAUUCUCAGGCCAACAAUUCAGUGACUCUAGCUCUGAGCCUGACUUGAGCUCCUUGGAGCUGACGGAGGCGGCCCUGUAUCUCUGUGCCAGCAGCCAAGACGCAGCCCUGCAUGAACAGCUGCCUCUGGUACAAAAACAUUCCUGCCCCAGCUCAGGAAGUGGCCGUGAGGGCGUUGACUGCCAGCCAACCCCUCCCAGGCCCUGGUAAAGCAGACAGCCUUUCGCAGGUAUUAUUUCUUUGAUAUGUAUGAAU